rnacentral:rRNA from 1 species
UACGUAGGGGCCUAGCGUUGUCCGGAUUUAUUGGGCGUAAAGAGCUCGUAGGCGGUUUGGUAAGUCAGGUGUGAAAUCUCCACGCUCAACGUGGAGGGGCCACCCGAAACUGCCAUGACUUGAGUCCGGUAGGGGAGUGUGGAAUUCCCGGUGUAGCGGUGAAAUGCGUAGAUAUCUGGAGGAACACCGGUGGCGAAGGCGGCAUCCUGGACCAACACUGACGCUGAUGAGCGAAAGCCAGGGGAGCAAACGGG